AACAGUCUUAUCAUUCAGGGAAUUGAUUGAUCUACCAAAUCUAAGACUUUUUUUUUUUAUUGAAGUAUGUGUUUGAUCUUCUUAUUUUGUUUAGUUUUAUUCUCUCUAUUUAUGAUUUGCUUAUUUCCAUGUUCCAGCUUCACCAUUCUUUCACCAACUAACCAAUCCAUAUUUGUUCCAAGUCUGGCUUACCACAAUCCCAAGUUUGUUUUACGUCUUCUAAUAUUAUUCAAUUUUUAUAAAAAUAUUUACUUAUAAUAGUAUGGUAGGACCUGUAGUAAUUUGAGAUUAUUUUACAUCUCUAAAGAUGGUUUUUCUUCUUCUUUUCUUUUCAAUUAAAGCUUCAGCUCAAGUGCACAUUUUUCUUCUAUAUGAGGCUUUAUGUACACUGAAAAUCUGAGACUAGAAUUGUUUAGAAUUCUAUAUUUCUAAAAGAAGCUCUUGAUUCCCAAUUAUGAUUUUAGAUGAUGAUGAUGAUGAUGUGGCACAGCUGCAAAGAAAGCCUCUGUUUUGGAAGACUGACUGGAGUUUCAUUAAAUGCCCAGUUUCCACAAGUUUUAUGCUCUACUAAAUUCUUCAGGCCUUUUGUGUACUGAGAAUCUAAGAGUGGAGUCAUAUGUUCAUAGAUUGUUCCAAAGAAAUUAUUUAGCAAAUGGUGUGGUGUGCAUAAGAUACUUGAAUUAGUUUUUAUCAUACACUGACUUAUACCAUCAACGAUCGCGAAUCUGACUUCCCUAUUAGACUUGCGGUUAAGUGAAAUAUCUAAUGUAAGUUCUUCUCUUGCAUUUAUCAAGGAUAUGAAGUCUCUAAGUACCUUAGUACUUAGGAACAACAAUAUCACUGGUACAAUUCCAUCGAAUAACGGAGAGCUCCAACAGUUACAAAAACUAGAUUUGAGCUUUAACAAGUUAAAUUGACAGAUUCCAGACUCUCUUUUCAACAUUAGCUCACUCUCUUAUCUGUAAUACAUCUUUAGUUUUCUCUCUUGGGUUAACAUGCUUGUACCAUUUGGUUAACUCUUUCUGUCUAAAAAAAACUUUCAUUU